UACGAAGGGGGCUAGCGUUGUUCGGAAUUACUGGGCGUAAAGGGCGCGUAGGCGGCCAUUCAAGUUAGGUGUGAAAGCCCCUGGGCUCAACCUAAGGAAUUGCACUUGAUACUGUUUGGCUUGAGUUCGGGAGAGGUGAGUGGAAUUCCCAGUGUAGAGGUGAAAUUCGUAGAUAUUGGGAAGAACACCAGUGGCGAAGGCGGCUCACUGGACCGACACUGACGCUGAGGCGCGAAAGCGUGGGGAGCAAACAGG
rnacentral:rRNA from 1 species